UGAGAAGAAGUGGUCUGUAGGUAGAAAACCCUAUCGCUGGUUGGUGAACUUGCUAAGAAAAGAAUAUUCCUGAAGUUGUGGUGCCUCACAUUUGAAAACUAGGCUGCCUGGAGUUUUAAUUCAAAUGUAUGAUUGGAUGCAGCUUUGUUUCACUGGGGAGGAAAGGACUAAACAGUUGUUUUUGAGACCUUGUAAUAACAAGUGAAGUUUUUAAGGCUGUGAAGGCUUGAUGGCAUUAAGAGCUUAUAUAGUUAUGAGAACUCAGGGUUAUGACAAAAGCCAAUAAGUGAAGGAAGAGUUAUGUGAAACUGAGAUGCAACAAAUACUGGAUAAGAAUGGUACCUCUGAAAAGUGUGAGGACUGAUUGUGGACUACUGAGGAGCUGGAGAUGCCCACGUAGACUUCUGUGUGAGCAUGUAUUGUUGUAUGGUCUCUAAAUACAUAAUCUCAUAUUAUUUCUAGUACAAAGUAGAAAUUUAAUGAGUAGUGAUUCAGUAUUUUGUUUUAUCAUGUUCAUGUGUGCUUCCAGGCUACAGUAUAUGCUGUUUACUGUAUGCUAUUUAAAUGCUGUGCUAAAGGCAGAAAAAUUAACUUCCUCAUGGGCUAUUCUGUAGCACUCAUUACUGUAAGACUGGAAUAUCCUACAAUCAGAAAUAAAUUGACUCCUCAAACCAUGUAGCUUGAGGAUAAACUAUUUUUGCUCUCAAGCAUAGACAAACAUCAGGCAUAUUGUAUAUGCCCAGUUUGGAACAUUUGAGACUUGAU